rnacentral:lncRNA from 1 species
CCGCGCGUGAAGAACACGCGCGUCGCGCCGAUACUGAGCCUUAAUGUACAGCGGCUGUGACUGAGCCGUGACCAGUCAAGCCGUUAAACGGUAACUUACCAAAACCGUUGACCAGUCGUGAUCAGUAGAUUUUGACCGAGUCAAACGUUGACCGCCCUCUUGACUGUUGACCAGUCAAAUCAAAAAUUGCAUUUUUCCCCUGGCCAUUCUGUAAUUACAGAUUGGCCUCUGAAGUUUGAGAAUUGCAAUUUAGUCCAUGAAGUUUUAAUUAUUCAAGUUGGGUCCAAAAGAGUAUGAUUUGAUAGAAAAGCCCUUUCUGAGUUUUUCGGCAUCUGGAAUCCAUCCGCGAGUGGUCCCGUUUCCCCCCCGAUAUCGCUGUGCGCUAGUGAGAGAAGUAAGAUGGCCAGCAGAGAAUAAUUUGGGAGCUAUGAUUAUGCUUUCCGCGAUAAAAAUUUACGCCCUAUGAAAACCGAGGAUGGAAAAAGACCAAUCCUACACCAUAGUCUGUAAAGAUGUUGCAUGAUCCUUUGAGAAUAUAAUAGGAGGAAAACUACGGAAAAGAAGGAUGAGGAAUGGAAUAAGAGAACCGAAAAACGAUCGGGGGUAUAAAGACAGUGCAUUGAACACGAAGAUUACACCAUGUACGAACAAGAGAACGAGACGAGUGCUUCACGAUCAUGGACCAAUUGGAGAAGAUGUACCAGGCGAAGGAAUCUUAGAACAAGGCAUUAUUGAUGAGGAAGACUUGUGGAAUUUUGAAAACUUCAGAGAGGGACGGUGGCGGGAAACAUAUGAGUGAGUUCCAGAGAAUUGGUCAAUUAGUUGGCCAGUAAGACCUCAUUGACGAUGAAAUGCUUUUUAGGCUCUACUGCUUCUGAGUUCUUUACCAGAUAGUUGGGAGACAUUGGUGAGUUUCUCUCAGCAAUUCCGCGCAGGAUGGAAGUUGACUCUGAGUACAGUCAAGGAUGCCCUAUUCAACGAAGAAGCACGGAAGAAAGAGAUGGGCAUGAUAGAGCGAAGUGAGUCGCAGGCCCCCAAUCGCACACGGAAGCAGGGAAAGAGGUCGAGGUCACCAGAGGAAUAGGGAGAGGGACGGUCAAGGUCACAAUCAAGAGGUCGCAAUUUUAAGUAUUUUUUCUGUGCAAAGGAGCGGGCAUAUCAAGAGGAAUUGCCCAAAGUAUAAAACAAUAUGCAGUCUCAGAGACAGGCAUCGCAUCCGCAUCAGUGAUGACAGAUUCAGAUAAUGGUGGUUCCUAGUAUCACGGCAGAUGAGAAUCCGACUGGGUAUUGGAUUCAGGAAGUGCCUACCAUUUUUGUAGAGACAGGAAGAUGUUCUCUCACAUACGCAGCAUGCGAGGGACUUGUACGGAUGGAGAACAACACGGCGAAACAAAGUGUUGGCAAGGGAACAGGUCUGGUUCCGCAUGGCCAGCGGGAGGUCUGUGACGUUGACCGAGGUACGACAUGUUCCCAAACUACGGAAAAAUUUGAUUUUCAUCAGAAUGCUAGAUUAAAUGGUUUGCAGCAUGUAAGCUAAGGGAGGAAUCUUGAGAAUUUCCAAGGGAAACAAAGAGAUGCUGAGGGAAGGAAGACAAAAGGACUAUAUCGACUGGAGAGAAUUGUCCAAAACAGGAAGAGACGCUGUCCGACAAUGGGUCCAGUGGAUAUAAGACGGAAGAAUGGACAAGGAAAGCAACAGGUGCAAACAGGCACGCAAAAAGCAAGCGCAGGGACACCGGAGGGAGCAGAGUGGUCCAAGAGCGCAAGGAGAUGCUUGGGACAUGUGCGAAGUCUGAUCAGACAGACCAGUGCGACAAUGCGGAUGUCCAGAGAAAGUCCAGAGGAAGGAGGACAAAGUCGAUUUGGAGAGUUGUAAAUCGACAGGCGACGAGUCGCCGAAACGAGUCCUUUUGCUCGCGAUUGAUUAGUGGCCAGUGACUCUUCAAAUGGAUAAAAGGGAGAGGCUAGAGCCACGACGACCGCAAAGUGAUGUACUUUGCGGAACUCUCCGGUGAGGGGGAGCAAGGCAACCUAAGUGGAAGGGCAGGCAACUUCAGUCUGGAAGUGUGAGUGCUCAUUGAUGAGGGCAAGAUAUCUCGGAGCAGGUCUUGCAGAUCUUACGGGGGGCUGGAUCAAAAGUUGUUCGGAUAGAUACUUGAAGACUUCAGAUUACCCUCCAAUGGGGGAGGGGGAGAUUGUUGGAUCCAGCCAAUUGAAGGCCAAAGGAUCCAGCCCAAGUUAUGAAGCCCAAGCCCAAAGUGGAAGCCCACCCAUUUGUGACCCAAGCCCAAGCCCAUACUCAUUCUUCGGGAUAAGAAUGAAAUGGAAAUGAAGAGGACAGAUAAGAGAAGAGGAGAAAAUGCUCUGAAAGAAGACUAUAAAGAGGGAGGCGCGAAAGAGCCGAAAGAAGAGACGCUCCUUCCUUCCUCCAGUGUCAACAAUGAGGCAGAAUGAGCCUCAGCCAUGAGCUCAUCUUCUCCUUUCUAUCGUGGUCAUAUAAGACUCUGUUCUGAGAGAACAGCGCAGAGAGUGGGAGAAACAGAGAUAAGGCAGUGGGCAGGGAAGAAUUCUGUAGAGUAUAGAGAGGCUGUAGAGCAAGACUGGAAUUGAGAGAUGAGAUGAUUGAGUGAGUUGAGUGUGAAUCUCCUCCUUUUGUAUCUUUGUAAUUCAUUUUGAGAUAGUGAAUUAUCAGAUCCUCUCGUGGAUGUGGCAUUGUUGGCCAAACCACGUAAAUCUUGUCUUGUGUGUGUGGUUAUGUUGUAAGUGACUGUAACUCGUGUUUGGGCACAACGAACUCAACCCUAAGAAUACCAUUGAAGUUAGCAUAACCGCCAAAAAAAAUCAAAAUAUUUACUAAUUUUCAGCGUAACCAAACUUAAAGACCAAUAAGAUUCAAAUUGAAGAGAAAGAACUCAUCUUUUAGAAAUCAGUUGAAAACCUAAGAAACCCUAAACCCUAAUAAUGCGAUUGAAAUCAGCAUUACCGUCACGAAGAUGCCAAGAUGGAAUCCAACCGAAUCAAAUAUUUGCUACCAUCUCCCUUCAAUAUGUACAUCAAGUUAUUUUUUCUCUUUUUAAUAACAAAAAUCUGGAGAUUUUUGUCUUUUUUUAAAAAAACUAAUAAAGAAGAAAAUUCUCUAUCAAACAGUUGAAAACCUAUGAAACCUAAACCCUAGCAAUGCUAUUGAUGUCACCAUUGCAACGAAGAACCCAAGACGGAAUCUAUGAAUAAUGUUGUGCCCAAAACGAGUUACCAGUCACUCUGCCAACAUCAACCACACCCACAAGACAAGAUUUACGUGGUUCGGCUAAUCUGACUACGUCCACGGAAAGGAACCAAUAAUUCACUAUUUCAGGAAUGAAUUACAAUGAGUACAAUAGGGAGGAGGCUCAUCUCCACUCACCUCUCAGCACUCUCUCAUCCUCACCAUCUCUCAUUCUUGCUCUCACAGCUAUCAAUUCUAGCCCAACUUCUGUCAGAUCUCUCGGUGCUCUCACUGCAACCAUAGCACUCCCACCAAAUACAUAGUCCUCACUCCAGCCCCCUCUGCAUCACAACAUGUUGUGUUGCUCUCAGUAAGCUCUCAAGUAUUACAUUGUGCUCCGCCGCUUUCUCUCUCUGGCAACCUCUCAAUUUUAUGACCUCAGAUCAGAUAAGAUAGCUCAUGGCUGAGCUCUUCGUACCUCCUUCUUGACCAUGGAGAGCCUCCAUCUGCGACGUUCUUCGCGCCGUAGCAGCUUUCUCUGACAGAGCUGUCAGAGCAUCUCUCCUCUUCUUUUCUCCUCUUCCUCUUCUCCUCUUCUCUUCGUCUAAAAGGAAUGUAAUUGGGUUGGUUUAUGGCUGGGCCUUGGGCUUCCAAUUGGGUUGGGCCUAAAUUUGGACUGGAUCCAACAUCUCCCCCUCCAGCCCAUUGGAGGGUAAUCUGUUUUCUUGCAAGUUGUUUCAUCCUGACAACUUCUAGUCCAGCUCCCCCGUAAGAUCGCAAGACUGAAUCUGAGAUACCUUGCCCGCAUAAUCGGACAAUUCACUUCCCCUGAAUGGAUGCCUUCCAAUCGACGUGUCUGCACCUUCUCACUUAGUUGCUCUGCUCCCCCCCCACCGUGGGCGCUGCAAAGUACGUCGCUUUGCAAGGCAUGUGAUUCCAUCACUCCUCCUUUUUGUGUGCACAACAAAAAUCAAAAACAAAAAGAGAGAGAGAUCACCAUCACUUAUCUAGAGUGAAAGAGACUCAUUUUCGGCGACGUCGCGCCUGUCGCUGUCCAUCAACUCUGUCUCUCUCCUCUGAGCUUCUCGCAUGACAUCCUGAAUUGUUAGCAUCUUCUCGUUUCUGGCCAGACUUCGCACUAUCCCAAAGCAUCUCUUUGCGCUCCUGUUCCACUGUGGAUACUUCAAGUACCCAUCAGGUACUCCUGCGCUUGUUUUGCGUGCCUCGUGCAACGGUUGUUUCUUUCGUCCAUUCAUCUUGCUAUCCACUGGGCCCUAUGUCUGACCACAGCUCCUCUUUUCUGGACACUCCCCUUCAGUUCGGUAUAGCCCUUCAGUCUUCCUUCUCUUGCAGCAUUCCUAUUUCCUUGGAAACUCUGAGUGUUCCUUCCACUAGCUUCAAAGUUUCAUCGCUUCGAAUAUUUGCAUCUCAAUGAAACAUGCCUAUCCUGGUCACCUUCAUGGAUCUCCCGUCUGCCAUGCCUUAGCCUGGUCACCUUCAGAAAUUCCCAAUCUGACUCUUCCUCUGCCGAUGCUGCUAGAGAACAUCAACUCUCAUUCACAGCAUCAUUGCUGCUGUUGCUGUCUCUGAAGACUGAUCUUGUGCUUUGUUUCCUUGGACAAUUCUUCUGUCCCUCCUGGUCGCAAUAAAAGCACUUAAAGUGCUCCUCUGGAUUUUGCCCUCAGCCGUCAUCUGUCGGUAUCGUCUUCUUUGACCUCUUCUUCUGACCUCUGUGAACCUCCUUCUUGAGACCUCUUUCUCUGAUCAUCUUUUGACCUCUUCCUGUUGCUCUCUG